AUUUCGUAGUAAAGGAGAUGCUAUGUGCAAUCAGUGUUAGAGCUACCUUUUAGUUGUUUAUCGUCUUAAUUAAUUGUUAUAUAAAUGUAUUGUUCUUUCAUUUGUCUUUGUAAAUUAUUACUUUUACUGUUAAGUCUAUUUUUGUUAAGAUCCACUAGACGUGGCUCGGUACUUAUACAUCCCGUCAUUGUAUUAUUGUGCUAUGUUAAAUGUUUGUAUUAUUGUCUUUCGGUUUUGCUUAUGUGCUUUGUCUAUAUGUCUUUUGUUUUUCUUUGGUGACAUAUUUGUUUUAUAGUGAUUAAGAUUAUAACACAAUGUUGACUGUUGUGUCUCUAUUUGGACAUUUUUACCUAUU
rnacentral:lncRNA from 1 species